GUCUGUCAUGCAAAUUUUUUGUUUGUUUGUUUGGAUGGAAUAAAAAAGUGAAUAAAAAUAAUAUUUUUGGUCACUUUACCGAGUGUUGCACUCGGCACAGACACUCUUUGCCAAGUGUCCAGGGCACAACACUCGGCAAAAGGCUGCGCUGGGAACCUGGAAAAAAAGGUUUGCCGAGUCUCAAGCUAGGACACUAGGCAAACCUGAUGGCUUUGCCAAAUGUCCAGGACACUAGGCAAACUUAGUACUUUGCCUAAUGUCCUAGAAAGGACAUUGCCGAGGAAGCGCACAUAGAUGGGCUUGGUGGGCCUGUGGUUGGGCUUGCCGAGCUUAUCCAUAUUGUUUUCUUUUUUUUUGUUUUUUCUAUUUGAUUUAUUGAGGUGGGCAACAAACUGUCACAGUAAAAGUCACAUUUACCGUGACCUUUGUUUCGAGGCGGUUCGAAAAACCGUCGCUGCAGUUAACUUUUUCUAUAGGAGUGUUUUUUACCGUCUUGACUUUGUCAAUUGUAGCACCGCUCACACUAGGCAAAGCGUGGGAUUCCAAUGAUGAAAGCACAAAUCGGCGACAAGAAAUGGAUCAGUCGUCAGUCGAUCACACACGGGUGGUCGGACUAGACGUCCAUGUAUGGCGGCAUGCAUGCACAGUCGGUCAUGGUUAGCUUUCCUAUGAAAACUUUUCUAACACUUCUAAGGGUCUGUUUAGAUUGGAGAUAAAAAUUUUUUAGUGUCACAUCGGAUAUGUCGGAAGGAUGUCGGAAGGGAUUUUUAGAAACUAAUAAAAAAACAAAUUACAUAGCUCGUCAGGAAACUGCAAGACAAAUCUAUUAAGCAUAAUUAAUCUGUCAUUACCAUAUGUGGGUUGCUGUAGCACUUAAGGCUAAUCAUAGAGUAACUAGGCUUAAAAGAUUCGUCUCGUGAUUUUCAACCAAACUGUGUAAUUAGUUUAUUUUUUUAUCUACAUUUAAUGUUCCAUGCAUGUGCCGAAAGAUUCGUUGGGAUACAUGAAAAAUUUUAGGUGGGGAACUAAACAGAGCAACCACAAUGUAUAUGGACCAAGUAGUCCAUAUAUAUGGGACCCACAUAACUAGUCCAUAGCUAUUGUUUUUUUCUGACAAUGUAUAUGGACUAAGUAGUCUAUAAGAUGGGAUCCAAAGAGGAUAAAGAAUUAUUUAUCUUCAUUCCACCAGCCACUACAAGG
rnacentral:lncRNA from 1 species